rnacentral:rRNA from 1 species
GACGAACGCUGGCGGCGUGCUUAACACAUGCAAGUCGAACGGAAAGGCCCUGCUUUUGUGGGGUGCUCGAGUGGCGAACGGGUGAGUAACACGUGAGUAACCUGCCCUUGACUUUGGGAUAACUUCAGGAAACUGGGGCUAAUACCGGAUAGGAGCUCCUGCUGCAUGGUGGGGGUUGGAAAGUUUCGGCGGUUGGGGAUGGACUCGCGGCUUAUCAGCUUGUUGGUGGGGUAGUGGCUUACCAAGGCUUUGACGGGUAGCCGGCCUGAGAGGGUGACCGGCCACAAUGGGACUGAGAUACGGACCAGACUCCUACGGGAGGCAGCAGUGGGGAAUAUUGCACAAGGGGAGGAAGCCUGAUGCAGCAACGCCGCGUGCGGGAUGACGGCCUUCGGGUUGUAAACCGCUUUCGCCUGUGACGAAGCGUGAGUGACGGUAAUGGGUAAAGAAGCACCGGCUAACUACGUG